rnacentral:rRNA from 1 species
AGUAAAAGUCGUAACAAGGUUUCCGUAGGUGAACCUGCGGAAGGAUCAUUACCGAGUGCGGGUUCUCACGAGCCCAACCUCCCACCCGUGUUUACCGUUACCGCGUUGCCUCGGCGGGCCCACUGGGGCCUGGCCCCGGUCGCCGGGGGGCUUCUGCCCCCGGGCCCGCGCCCGCCGACGCACCCUAGAACCCUGCCUGAAUAGUGAGUCUGAGUGAGAUUUGAAAUCAUUAAAACUUUCAACAACGGAUCUCUUGGUUCCGGCAUCGAUGAAGAACGCAGCGAAAUGCGAUAAGUAAUGUGAAUUGCAGAAUUCCGUGAAUCAUCGAAUCUUUGAACGCACAUUGCGCCCCCUGGCAUUCCGGGGGGCAUGCCUGUCCGAGCGUCAUUUCUGCCCUCCAGCACGGCUGGGUGUUGGGCGCUGUCCCCCCGGGGACACGCCCCAAAAGCAGUGGCGGCGCCGCGUCGGGUCCUCGAGCGUAUGGGGCUUUGUCACCCGCUCGGGAGGGACUCGGUCGGCGCUGGUCUUCCCUUUAGGCCGCCCUUCGGGGUGCGCCUCUUCCGGUUGACCUCGGAUCAGGUAAGGCUACCCGCUGAACUUAAGCAUAUCAAUAAGCGGAAGAAAAGAAACCAACAGGGAUUGCCC